UCAAAACCAGCCCUAACAAUUUUUAUACAACUUUUAAAUAAAAACAGUGGAAAAUACAAUAAAUAAGUCCUCUAAAUAAAGCUGUGGUAUGAAGUUUAAAUGCCCCAAGUCAGAAGUCAAUUGGAUGUCUCUGUCUGAGCUGAGAGCACAUGACAUACAACGAAACCACAUGGACAGACACAACCCCGAAUGCCAAUUCCAGUGUCCUGUGCAGUGAUGACCACACUGUUAGAAGCAUUUUAACUCUUGUUUUUACAAACUUUCUUUUUACAUAUAUGUUAGCGGUCAAAGAACUCUGUUUUUCUUGGUCCAAACCAGAGGAAAUUUAUUGUCCAAACCAGACCCACCCCAAUGCAUUUGCCUCUGAUGUGAGAAAGAAACACUAGGGCUUCAACCAGAUGAGGGGCAUUUAGGAAAACCCACAGCUAAAGUCACAUUCAAUGCGGAACACUGGGCACCUCCCCCUAAGGUCAGGAACAAGACGAGGGUGUCCGCUCUUAUUCCUUUCAGCCUCGGCACUGAUGGUCCUAGGGCAACUCUAUGUUGACGCCUCUGAGGAACUGCCGGGCUGCAGUGAAUCCAGGUGACCUCACAGAAACUUGUAUGUGAGCAUUCGCAGCGGCAUCAUUCACAGUGGCCAGGAGGUGGAAACAACCCCGAUGUCCAUCAACUGAUGAACCAACCGAUGAACACAGGGUGACCUGUCCAUACAGUGGGGUCUCAGCCACAGAGGGAGCAAGGCCGUGAAACCCCCAGCGAGAGCGAGGCGCGGAAACCCGCAGCGGGAGCGAGGCGCGGAAACAGGCCAUGACACGGAUGAGCCACACCAUGGAUGACCCCACGGACACGCCACCAAAGCACCAUCAUGCUGAGUGACAGAAGCCAGGCACCCAGACCAUGCACUGUAUGAUUCCUUUCACGUGAAAUUUCCAGAACAGGGAAAUCCAGAGCGACAGAAAGCAGGUUAGAGGUUCCAGGGGCUGGGGGUUGGGGGAAUGGGGAGAGACUACUUAACAGGCAGAGACUUGUUUUUGGGGUGGUGAAAAUGUUCUAAACGGACUAUGGCUGCACAGCUCUGUGAACACACUAAAAACAUUGGCUUGGACAACUUAAAUGGUCGGAUGCUGACUUAGGUCUCAAUAAAGCUAAAAAAUAAGGUG
rnacentral:antisense_RNA from 1 species